UACGAAGGGGGCUAGCGUUGCUCGGAAUCACUGGGCGUAAAGCGCACGUAGGCGGAUCAUUAAGUCGGGGGUGAAAUCCUGGAGCUCAACUCCAGAACUGCCUUCGAUACUGAAGAUCUCGAGUCCGGGAGAGGUGAGUGGAACUCCGAGUGUAGAGGUGAAAUUCGUAGAUAUUCGCAAGAACACCAGUGGCGAAGGCGGCUCACUGGCCCGGUACUGACGCUGAGGUGCGAAAGCGUGGGGAGCAAACAGG
rnacentral:rRNA from 1 species